UACAGAGACUGCAAGCGUUAUUCGGAUUCACUGGGCGUAAAGGGUGCGCAGGCGGCCGUGUGUGUGAGGCGUGAAAGCCCGGAGCUCAACUCCGGAAUUGCACCUCAAACUACACGGCUAGAGCAUUGGAGAGGGAAGCGGAAUUCACGGUGUAGCAGUGAAAUGCGUAGAUAUCGUGAGGAACACCAGAGGCGAAGGCGGCUUCCUGGACAAUUGCUGACGCUCAGGCACGAAAGCGUGGGGAGCAAAAGGG
rnacentral:rRNA from 1 species